rnacentral:lncRNA from 1 species
CAUCAUUUCAGAAUCAGAAUCAAAGAAAUUAUCAUCUAGAUUAAGAGCAGACCAAAGCAUAGUUUUUUCAGUGUUCUUCAGACCAACGCAAAGUUUUUUCACAGGCAAGUCAGUACAAGCAACUCAAAGCAACAAGUUCAAAUUGUGUGUUGUGCUCAAUGGUGUGAGUAUAGAAAGCAUAUUAAAUAGUCUAGUUUUUUCUCAUGAGGAGGGCACAGUCUGUAUUCCUUCUGCAGGCUGAGGCUCAGCUAAUCCUACUCUCAUCUGAAAUAUAUGGAUCAACAGUCUGCACAACAAGAAGUAAAUUUAGUAUAUCAAAUCCUCUAUAUCCUAAUAAGAUUGCUCAUUUGCUGCAACAGUAGUGAGUGGCAAAAGGUAGAAUGUAACCUGCAGAAUAUGUUAGUGGCCACUCUCCGAUGAACCCUCCUUCCAACACAGCUCUGUUAUCUAUCAAAAUAGUUACCAGGUAGUUAAAUUGAUGAAAUAGAUAACCAACACAACUCCGUUAUCAAAAUACUUUGCCACACGGUAACAAUAUACAUGAAGUAAUUACACACAAAGAUAAGAUCUUGUGAACAGAUCCAAAACAACUUUACAAUCACAUUAUGAACUUAUGAACUUUCUAUAAUCACAUUAUAGAUCAGGCACUCCUAAUUCAAAACCCUGUAAUUUCUAAACUUUGUACUUAAUUCAUAAACUUUCUAUAAAUCCAUUUUGGAAUAUACUCCAAAAUCCAAAAUUAUUAUUCAGCUUGCUGUGCGAAUACCAGGAACUAAAAAAGGAAACAAAAUUGAAAUGUUCUUAAACAAAAUGAGAGAGCUGAUCCAUUGUGCAAGAUUUGGUUUGUUUGGAAGGGACAGCUGAUCUGCACCAGGUAAAGUCUGAGUUGUUGUAGCUUCUGGAUUUCCGGUGGACAAUGAACAAUGGGGGGUCACAAAUUUCUGAUCGGCUUCCCUAUGACAGGGGUGUGGAAGAGGAGGUUGCACCAUCAGCUACACCUUUUGUCCCUGAUGAUCUUGAUCACCAAGCUCUGUAAUUAGUAGUGCCUCACAAGAAAGAGGUGUGGCAGAGUGUUUAAUGGGAUCUCACUGAUUCUGAUGAUCAUGCCAAGCUUAUAUUUUUGUGUUUUUCUUUUUCUUCCCACUACUGUUGUGAAGGACGAAGCUAAGUCGGAGCUGGGGUUAUACGAUGAGCUGAAAGAGGCAUGCAUAGCAGGUGAGAACCUGAUGAACCUGAGCUAACAGAAAUGCAAGUCCGUGCCAUCUUUGAAGCUGCUAUAGCGAUGACCAACCAAGGCGUUCAAGUCUUUCCAGAGAUAAUGGUUCCUCUUGUUGGAACACCGCAGACAUGCAUCUUUUUUUUUUGUAACCUAAACCCUAAAAUACACAAUAACAAGAAAGACUGCAGGCAGGCAUUCCUUUAGACAACUGACACUUGGUAUUUGCAGGAAUUGGGACAUCAGGUGGCCCUUAUCCGUCAAGUCGCUAACAAAGUUUUCACCAGUAUGGGUAAAACUAUUGGGUACAAGAUCGGAAUGAUGAUUGAGAUUCCCAGGGCAGCUCUAGUGGCCGACGAGGUAGGAAACAAAAAACAACUAGCUCCGAAAACUCAAAACACGACUGUUUUAGACAGACUUUGUAGAUCGACGCCAUCAGAGGCUGGCUGGACGGAGGGAACAGCGCCUCCCCCGUGAUCGGCCAGCCGCUCGCGCACCGGGAGCUGGCACCGAAUAUCGCUGGGAUUGGAUCUAAGAACUUGCCGCCGCCUGAGCUAUUGGAUCUAAUAAGAGACGCAAGAACCCUAAACGCCCUAGUUGAGACAGGGAGCAAGAAGAAUACCGGUGAGAAGCAGACUCCGAAGGAGAUCGACGCCAGCAGGCGUGAGGAAUCCGGUCUCCGUGCCACCGUUGCAGCGCGCAUGCGGCGUGCCCUUCAUGCCUGUUGCCCUAGUCCAUGCUGGUCGGUGAGAAGCGACCUAUUGGCUGCGUGCGUCCGGGAUAUUUCC